rfam:Triticum aestivum genome assembly, contig: Triticum_aestivum_CS42_TGACv1_scaffold_436105_5DL
CUUGUACUCCCUCCGUCCGGAAUUACUUGUCAUCAAAAUGAAUAAAAAUGGAUGUAUUUGGAACUAAAAUACAUCUAGAUACAUCCAUUUCAAUGACAAGUAUUUCCGGACGGAGGGAGUAUUUC